rnacentral:rRNA from 1 species
ACUCCUACGGGAGGCAGCAGUGGGGAAUUUUACGCAAUGGGGGAAACCCUGACGUAGCGACACCGCGUGAGCGAAGAAGCCCUUUGGGGUGUAAAGCUCUGUCAGCUGGAACGAAAACAAUGACGGUACCAGCAGAGGAAGCAUCGGCUAACUACGUGCCAGCAGCCGCGGUAAGACGUAGGAUGCGAGCGUUGUCCGGAUUUAUUGGGCGUAAAGAGUUCGUAGGUGGUUUGUUAAGUUUGGUGUUAAAGAUCGGGGCUCAACCCUGGGACUGCACUGAAUACUGGCAGACUCGAGUGUGGUAGAGGCUAGUGGAAUUCCCAGUGUAGCGGUGAAAUGCGUAGAUAUUGGGAAGAACACCGGUGGCGUAGGCGACUAGCUGGGCCAUAACUGACGCUGAGGAACGAAAGCCAGGGGAGCGAAUGGGAUUAGAUACCCUGGUAGUCCCAUGAU